UUUAGUGGGAAAAGCAAAUACGUGGAUAAAAUAAGAUACAAUGCACCUAAAUAUCAUUUUGUAGAAGGAUUUUAUACCACAAGAAAAAAUGAAAGUACAGAUAUUCUUAGUAGUGGUAAUGCUUGUUGCAACGUUGUUCGUGUCUACAACUUUGGGACAAUAUUGGCGUGGUGGAGGUGGAAUGUAUAAUAGAAUGGGUGGAAACAGACAAUUUAGUUCGUUUGGUGGAAUGCGUGGAGGCGGGAAUUCCAAUUUUGCGAGAUGGUAUGGGCGAUAAAAACAAACUGCAAUAAACUUUUGUCUUAUAUUUGUACUGUACAUAUCUACCAUUUCAAAUGUGGAAAAAAUAUAUAAACAUAUUUAAUUUUUGCCUUA